UACGUUGGGUGCAAGCGUUGUCCGGAAUUAUUGGGCGUAAAGAGCUCGUAGGCGGUUUGUCGCGUCGAAUGUGAAAUCCCGGGGCUCAACCCCGGGUCUGCAUUCGAUACGGGCAGACUAGAGUUCGGUAGGGGAGUCUGGAAUUCCUGGUGUAGCGGUGAAAUGCGCAGAUAUCAGGAGGAACACCGGUGGCGAAGGCGGGACUCUGGGCCGAUACUGACGCUGAGGAGCGAAAGCGUGGGGAGCAAACAGG
rnacentral:rRNA from 1 species